rnacentral:tRNA from 1 species
CAGAAAAUAGUUUUAUUAAAAUAUUAAUUUUGGAGAUUAAAGAUGGGAGUAAUUUCUUUUCUGA